rnacentral:rRNA from 1 species
CCUACGGGUGGCAGCAGUGAGGAAUAUUGGUCAAUGGACGAGAGUCUGAACCAGCCAAGUAGCGUGAAGGAUUACUGCCCUAUGGGUUGUAAACUUCUUUUAUAUGGGAAUAAAAUGUUCCACGUGUGGGUUUUUGUAUGUACCAUAUGCAUAAGGAUCGGCUAACUCCGUGCCAUCAGCCGCGGUAAUACGGAGGAUCCGAGCGUUAUCCGGAUUUAUUGGGUUUAAAGGGAGCGUAGGUGGAUUGUUAAGUAAGUUGUGAAAGUUUGCGGCUCAACCGUAAAAUUGCAGUUGAAACUGGCAGUCUUGAGUACAGUAGAGGUGGGCGGAAUUCGUGGUGUAGCGGUGAAAUGCUUAGAUAUCACGAAGAACUCCGAUUGCGAAGGCAGCUCACUGGACUGCAACUGACACUGAGGCUCGAAAGUGUGGGUAUCAAACAGGAUUAGAUACCCGUGUAGUC